UACGAAGGGGACUAGCGUUGUUCGGAAUCACUGGGCGUAAAGCGCACGUAGGCGGAUUCGUAAGUCAGGGGUGAAAUCCCGGGGCUCAACCUCGGAACUGCCUUUGAUACUGCGGGUCUUGAGUCCGAUAGAGGUGGGUGGAAUUCCUAGUGUAGAGGUGAAAUUCGUAGAUAUUAGGAAGAACACCAGUGGCGAAGGCGGCUUACUGACCAUAACUGACGCUGAGGCACGAAAGCGUGGGUAGCAAACAGG
rnacentral:rRNA from 1 species